rnacentral:hammerhead_ribozyme from 1 species
AUCCGGCUAAUGAGUCCUAAAUAAGAUGAAACGCGCGUUCUGGAU